rnacentral:rRNA from 1 species
AUUGAACGCUGGCGGCAUGCCUUACACAUGCAAGUCGAACGGUAACAGGUUAAGCUGACGAGUGGCGAACGGGUGAGUAAUGUAUCGGAACGUGCCCAGUCGUGGGGGAUAACUGCUCGAAAGAGCAGCUAAUACCGCAUACGACCUGAGGGUGAAAGCGGGGGAUCGCAAGACCUCGCGCGAUUGGAGCGGCCGAUAUCAGAUUAGGUAGUUGGUGAGGUAAAGGCUCACAAAGCCGACGAUCUGUAGCUGGUCUGAGAGGACGACCAGCCACACUGGGAGUGAGACACGGCCCAGACUCCUACGGGAGGCAGCAGUGGGGAAUUUUGGAGAAUGGGCGCAAGCGUGAUCCAGCCAUGCCGCGUGCGGGAAGAAGGCCUUCGGGUUGUAAACCGCUUUUGUCAGGGAAGAAAAGGUUCUGGCUAAUACCUGGGACUCAUGACGGUACCUGAAGAAUAAGCACCGGCUAACUACGU